AAUUCACCCACCCAAAAAAAUUAUCGGCUACUGCCAAGUCUCUGGGGAACAAAGAAGCUCAGUGUCUGAAGCACCAAGGUUGGACAGAGCUCAUAAGAAUCGAUGUGGAGCUCAAGAGAAGCCUGGGCUCAUCCGAGGAGGACGCAAAAAGAAAAUCAUCAGGGAGAGUGUAAGCAGAUAAAUUUUUCCUGAGUUCCUAGUCUCUGUGCUGUGCUGAAAGCUGCCAGCCUAUCUGGCUCUCCUCCUGACUCUGGGGCUCCCCCUGCUGGCCUGCGAGUACAUUGCCUGGCCAUCUGACCUGAGACCCGGUGGUGAGGCCUGGGCAGUUCUGGAGGUCCGAAGUCCCAGAGAGUCUCACUGGGUUCAAAUCAAGGCGUCAGCAAGGCGGCGUUCCUUCCAGAGCCUCUAGGGGAGGAUCUGUUUCCUUGUCUUUUCCAGCCUCCAGAGGGUCCUUCAUUGCUUGGCACUCCCUCCAUCUUCAAAGGCAGCAGUGGAGCUUCUUCCAGUCUCUCUCCAACUCUGACUUUCUGCUUCCCUCUUCCACCUUUUAAGGGCCCUUGUGAUUACACUGGGCUCAGGAUAAUCUUUCUGUCUCAGAAUCAUGAACAUAAGCACAUCUGCAAAGUCCCGUUUGUUUGUUUUUUUAAGAUUUUUUUUUUUUGAUGUGGACCAUUUUUAAAGUCUUUAUUGAAUUUGUUACAAUAUUGCUUGUGUUUCAUGGUUUUUGGUUUUUUGGCUGUGAGGUAUGUGGGAUCUUAGCUCCCCGACCAGGGAUCGAACCUGCAGCCCCUGCUCUGGCAGGUGAAGUCUUAACCACUGGACCGCCAGGGAAGUCCCUGCAAACUGUUAUGAUGAAAGGUAACAUAUUCACAGGUUUCGAGGGUUAGGAUAUGGACAUUCUGGGAGGGCAUUAUUCUGCCACCCACAGGGAACCAAACGGUCAAUGCAUGAAAAGCAUCAAACUCAGGGCUUGGCAAACAACACUGAGCGCAUUCAAAAGCCGUAGUAUUACGAGUUAUUAAUAAUCAAAGAAUGUGUGAUAUCUGGAACUGAUAAGGAUGGGGACAGAGCACCCUUACACCCAACUGGAGGAGGAGGAUAAACUAGAGGAUCAAUUCAUGUGGACGCAGCUCUGAGUCCAUGCACUGAGCCUACGGGAAUUGCUGGACACAUCAGCCCACCUUAACAUACAUGGCUAUUCAUCGCAACCUUGUUUAUAAUAGCAAAAAUUAUGUAUAAAUACAUCCCGGGAUAUCCAUGUCCUGGAAUACAGUACACCCAUCUGAAAUUAUUAUGAUUUAUUAUUAGAUGUCUAAUUAUUGACAUAGACAUUGUUCACGUAUACUAAUGAAAAGAUAGGUUUCAAAAGAAUAGCCAUCUCCUUGGAUUCUAUUUUUAUAAAACACAUUUAUGUGUUACCAUGUGUGUCUGUAGAAAAAGUGCAGAAGACUGCACACAGAGCAUUACCAGUGGGUGGUAGGAUUCCUGAUGGGUUUGACUCCGGUCUACUGAGUGCUCUGAAUGGUUUUGCACAGUACGCAGGUAUCCCCAGUUUUGCAGAAGAUGGUUUUCCCUCCUUGGGCACCAUCGGUAGUAUCACAGAGGGAGAAACGCCAGGGGUCUAAGAGCCCAGAGCCCCACUGGCUUUGUGCUCCUUCAACUUUUCUGCAGCUCAUUCUCUACACACAUAGAAUAUUUUCCCUCCCAACACUCAUGGGCUUGUCAUUGGGCAAAAUGAGACAAUCAGAAGAUAAUAUGAACAUUAAAAGAUCAAGACACAUCCUAGAGAUUCUUCCUCUAGGAAUCUGACCACAGUUGACCUCUGGCUUCAUGAGAGCAGGGGUCUCAGUACCCCCUCACCUGGCACAGUGUCAAGCAAGGUGGGUGGUCAGACCCCCCGGCUUCUUUCCACCUACUUAGGGUCCUCCCACACUCACAUGCACACCCCUGGCGCCCUCCUGGGCUAGAUCCCACUUCUUCUGCCAGCACUCAGUUUAAAUGUUGCUUCCCCGAUCCAACAGGCUAAUCACAAGCUGUCACAUGUCUGUCUGUUUUCAAGCCAGUGACCAGUGUAGGGGAUGAGAGAUUAAUCCCGUGGAGGAAACUCUAAGAAAUGGUGUAAAACAGAAGCAUUUCCCCACUCAGGGGGCAAGGGAGCUGGGGUAUCUAUACACCUGCUCCUAAAGUCCUUGGGUGAGAUCGAAUGAGGUAUCGAUUCCUCAGCACUUCAGGUGUGCACACCUGCUGCAGCCCGCAGGGCUUCCCAUGGGUGGGGGAGAAGGCAUGGGGGGAAGAGCCAGCAGACAGACAGGCUGACACCGGUAGCUGGAAGGUGCAAGGGAUACAGGUGAGGCACUGCUACAAUAACAGUGACACAUUCAUGACAUGGGUAUCUGUGCAGGUAUUGCUAAAUGUCAGUCGGCCUCCCUAGCCUGUAAACUCCAGGACAGAGGGGCUUUGCCUAACCUUCUUACAGCUGCAUCUCCAAGGGCCUCACAUUGUGUCUGAUACACAAGGAGACAUUCGACUCUUUUGUCAAUGAAUGAGUACGUAAAUCACUGAAUGAAUGAAUAUCCACAUAAGCUCUUGUCUAAACAGUGCAUCAUACCAAGCAGACAAAAUGCCAGAAUUCACUACCACAUAUAAACUAGACAGCCAACAAGGACCCCCUGUAUAGCACAGGAAACUAUACUCACUGCCUUGUAAUAAUCUAUAAUGGAAAAAAUCUAAAGAAGAAUAUAUGUAUCUGUAUAUAUAUCUGUAGAUAUAUAUCUAUGGAUAUAUCUGAAUCACUUUGC